rnacentral:miRNA from 1 species
GCCGCGUUGGCUCCUUGGGAUUGGGACAUUGACGGGCCCAGUGUCCCUCGGUGCCGCAUCUGAAGC